ACCCCAUCAUCCAUAAGCCGGCAGAGAUUGAGUGUUCAGUCUCAUAAUCUGUGGCAUAUGAUGGGGAUAGUAAAAUUCUCACCUGUGUGUAAGAUGGUAACCAUGGGAACUCACGAUUCCCUAUCAUCUAAGAUGUUGUGGGAGACA
rfam:Culex pipiens quinquefasciatus supercont3.97 genomic scaffold, whole genome shotgun sequence.